GGCGCCCAGGGCUCCGCGCAGGCGGCCCCGGAGCAGCACCGUGCACCUCGGUCGGCGGGAGGCGGUAGCGCCCCCUCUUAAGAGUGCAGGUUGGUCCCGCCAGGGCUCCCUCGGAGUCGGUCUGUCUGUCGGGUCCACCCUCAGCUUCGCUCCCUCCUCUCCGCUUUUGUGUUGCUCCCGGGGUGCCGGGCACAGCCUCGGAUUCCUCCCUCCUGGCAGCUCGAGUCAGUUCUCGCGGCGGUGGCCGGCAAGGCGGCGGCGACGGCUCGGGGACUAUCUCGGCUAUCACCGCGCUUCUCUGGCUGGAGCGGGCGUCCAGCUUGGCUGUCCUUCGGCCCCUCCCUGCCGUGCCUCGGGGCGCCCUGCGGCCCCCCUCCCCCCUCGCUGCUCUCCAAGUGGGCGGGGCGCCUAGAAGGAUCCUGCCUCCCCUCCACCUGGAUCUUAGGGCUCCGCGCCCCGGAGCCAGGCGCUCUCCGCGUCUCCUGCCCCGCCAACCCCGACCGCCAGGGGGUGCCACAGGGGCGGAGUGCCGCGGAGACCAGGCAAAGGGGACCAUGCGGCGCCUGACACGCCGCUUGGCGCUGCCGAUCGUCGGCGUGCUCUGGAUCACCGUGCUGCUGUUCUUCUGGGUAACCAAGAAGAAGUUAGAUGUGCCGCCGGGACCUGAAGUGCAGACCCCCAAGAUCUCAGAAGCUGACUGGGAUGACGUGUGGGACCGGUUUGAUGAGCGGCCAUAUCUAAAUGCCAAGAAGUGGCGCGUUGGUGAUGAUCCCUAUAAGCUGUAUGCUUUCAACCAGCGGGAAAGCGAGCGGAUCGCCAGCAAUCGGGUUGUCCCGGACACUCGCCACUCAAGAUGCACCCUGCUGGUGUACUGCAAGGACCUGCCCCCCACCAGCAUCAUCAUCACCUUCCACAAUGAGGCCCGCUCCACACUGCUCAGGACCGUCCGCAGUGUAUUGAACCGCACCCCUUUGAAUCUGAUCCAGGAAAUCAUCUUAGUGGACGACUUCAGCAAUGACCCUGAUGACUGCAAACAGCUCAUCCGGUUACCCAAGGUGAAAUGCUUACGCAAUAACCAACGGCAAGGGCUGGUCCGGUCCCGGAUCCGGGGUGCUGAUGUUGCCCAGGGCUCCACUCUGACGUUCCUCGACAGCCACUGUGAGGUGAACAGGGACUGGCUCCAGCCCCUGCUGCACAGAGUCAAAGAGGAUUACACUCGGGUGGUGUGCCCUGUGAUUGACAUCAUCAACCUGGACAAUUUCAACUACAUCGAGUCAGCCACAGAGCUCAGAGGGGGGUUUGACUGGAGCCUUCACUUCCAGUGGGAGCAGCUCUCUGCAGAGCAGAAGGCUCGGCGCCUGGACCCCACUGAGCCCAUCAGGACUCCGAUCAUAGCUGGAGGGCUCUUCGUGAUGGACAAAUCCUGGUUCAAUUACCUGGGGAAAUAUGAUAUGGACAUGGACAUCUGGGGUGGGGAGAACUUUGAAAUCUCCUUCAGAGUGUGGAUGUGUGGGGGCAGCCUAGAGAUUGUCCCCUGCAGCCGAGUGGGCCAUGUCUUCCGGAAAAAGCACCCGUACAUUUUCCCGGAUGGAAACGCCAACACAUACAUAAAGAACACCAAGCGGACAGCUGAAGUGUGGAUGGAUGAAUACAAGCAAUACUAUUAUGCUGCCCGGCCAUUCGCCCUGGAGAGGCCCUUUGGAAAUGUUUUUAAAGGAAGACGAGGAAUGGAAACAAACUCUCCUGCCGUCCAGCAUUGCUCAUCACCUACACCCCCGUCUUCUGUCCCUUCAGAGCCAAGCUUCAUGAAACAACUGCUUGCACUUGCUGUCUGUGGCUCCUUGUUCUCCUCUCCUCACUGUGAUCUGAGGCCUUGCCCUGCCCCCUGGGGUCGCUCCCGCCUGCUGCGAUCACUCCCACCUGGCCCACCCUGGCUCCCUGGUCCCCUUUGCGUGGCAUCCUCUCUAUUACUCCAGCCCUCAGAUGCACCUCUGAUCUCUGCCUUUCCGUAACUGUAGUCUUGGCUCUUGUCCUGCUGCUCAGGCUCUACCUUCUUGGUCCCACUGGCAGCCUCAGCUUCCUCUUUCCACCCUUACUUGUUGGUCUUCCCAAAGGGUCUUCCCUCUUCGUACUGUACAUCAUCCCUGGCAUCCACCACUUCUGAGCUACUGGUACUCAGACCUCUGUAGACUCUAAGCAACCUGGGGACAGACCUGGUGAUGCCAUGCUUUUGGUCUGAGGACUUUAACUCAAGGAGAAAGUUCUAGAGGAUGGUUCCCAAAUUAGCUUGCACAUCACAAUAAUCUGGGGGAGCUUCAAAAAACUCUACUCCACCCCAGUAGAGUAACAGUCUGGGGUGUGGCUUGGGCUGUAGAAUUAACCUGGACCUCUCCUCUGAGCUCCAGGGCCUUAAUGUCCAAGUAGCAGCUGGACAUCUCCACCUGGAUGUCUCCCAGGCUCCCCAACACAAGUCCUAAACUGAACUCACCCACUUUGCUCCUGAACUUGUUCCUCAUCCUGUAUCCCCCAUCUCAGUGAACGUUCUUCCUUGCAUUCUGGUGUCCUAGUCAGAAAUCCAGGUGUCAACCUUGACUCCUCCCUCUGAUCUCCUCCCACGUCCAAACAGCCACCACGUCCAGUAAUCCUGCCUCAUUCCCGCACUAAGCACCCAGGUCCUGGCUAAGCAUUCAGCAAUUUUUUUAAAAAGUCAUUUCUGUCCCCAUGUUGCUUAGAGUCUGCUGAGGCAGUGUGGUUAGUGCUGUACGAGAAGCCCUGGGGCCCUGAGAACACCUGGUCCAGUCGGAUGGAAGGAGGUGCGACUGGCCAGAGCAGGGACCAUUCUGUGGUCACCAGGGAAGACAGGGUGUAAAUGGAGCUCAGGUGGGCACUGAUGGUGCAGAUGGUGAGAAGAGGAGGGACUUGACCCUGUCACAUCUCUCCAUCCCCACCCCCUAAAAGCGUGACCACCUGGGUUUCUGCAGCCACCCCUCUACUGCUCUCCAUGUCUCCAGCUUUGCCCCAGCAGAGCCAUUCGCCAUCUGUACAAUGCUCGGAAGUGCAAGCCUCACCACGUCAUGCUCUGCUUAGAACCCAUCAAUUGCUUCUCAUUGCCCUCAGCCCAAACUCCUCCACAGUGCCUCCCAAGACCCUUUAUAGUCUGUCUCCAUCUCACAUCCCACUCAUUUCCCUGCUUCCUCCCCUGUGUACAUACAUUCAUACACUCAUAGAACCUUCAGUGCUGCUCCUGCCAACAGAAUUCUCACUUCUUCCCAUGCACCGUCUCUCUUUGCUGUUCCCCUGCCUCUACCCCAGGGCCCUCACCUCACACACUUUCAGGUUUGUCUAGAUGAGGUCCACUUUUCCUUCCAGAUAACAGCUUCAGCAUCACCACCACCUUGACCACCAUCGACUGGACAAGCAAGGGUACACUUCUGAGGUGCUCCCACAGCCCGCGAGUGCCCACCCCACGUCCACGUGGGGUUGUGAUCACUUGUUUCAUUUCCAUUCUCUGUUGCUGGAAAGCUCGCCUAUCCCCCAUUGGCAUCGAGAGCAGAUUGGACUUGCGGAGGAAUCUCCAGUGCCAGAGUUUCAGGUGGUACCUGGAGAACGUCUAUCCUGAAC